UGGAAUCGCUAGUAAUCGCGGAUCAGAAUGCCGCGGUGAAUACGUUCCCGGGUCUUGUACACACCGCCCGUCACACCAUGGGAGUCGGAAAUGCCCGAAGUCUGUGACCCAACCUACGGGAGGGAGCAGCCGAAGGCAGGUCGGAUGACUGGGGUGAAGUCGUAACAAGGUACC
rnacentral:rRNA from 1 species